AAACAACUAUUACUUCACAUUUACACAGUUCAAUGAUGAACUGCUUUUAACUGUCAUUUUGCAUUACUGACACACUGUUUUCCUAAUUAAUGUUGUUCAGUUGCUUUGACGCAAUCUUUUUUGUUUAAAGCGCUAUAUAAAUAAAGGUGACUUGACUUGACACAGAGCUGGUUUAAUCAUGUAUCAGAUUCAGUCAUAUUCAAUCAAAAGUAAUUUGCUUACCAAGACCAGAACCAUGUGGCAAAGAAGACCAGCUGUGGAUCUCCAGUCCGCCGCCCCAGUGCUUUAACAACUGCUCUUUCAGAGAGACAGGAGAUGAUACACACACCAGCUCACUGCACACACACACGGCUUUUAGCAAGGCACCUACAACACAAACACACAACUUCAUACUUACACAUAAUUGUACAUUUAUGUUCUACAUAGAAACAUUAGCUAAAACAAACACUGAAUGUCAGUUGUGUGCCUCACAGUAUGCUCUCUCACCUGGAGCGUGAGGCUGGCAGUAGUCUUCCAGGUCAGUAAGAUCCUCACAGAGUGUUUCUGUGGAGAUGCUGCAGGCCGGUUCACCGCUGGUACUGACCAACAGCAGAUGAGGCUCUGGAACACGUCGAACUCGAGCUCCAAUCGGCCGUUUUCCAUCCACUUUGAUGGCCACAUUGAUUACCAGUCCACCAUGUUCAAACGCUAUAGGAGGAGUGUCACUCCAGCCUCCUGACAGAUCCAGUCGAGCAGGACACUCCACUUCCUGCCACUCACCCAUGGGCGGCAUCUCUCCUUGACCAAUGAACACAAACUCACGUGCUGACAUCACUGCCUUCCUCAGCAGUAUCUGUCCCGCCCCCUCAUAAUGCCUGGCGGCUCUCACCAACAGAUCUGGUCUUUAGACAAUGAUGACAAAUCAGAAAUUCUCGCUUUGCAGCACUCAGAUUUAUGCAGUUUUUUAGUUCUGACCUGCAGAGCCAGUGCUUUCUUUGAUUGGCCAGUUCUUGGACACCUGCAGGUAAGUUUCCAUCUUCUAGGAGCUUAAAAGCAGGGGCCCAUGAUGGAUUCGCCGCUGGUCCACUGCGCAAACCACCUUUACCCUCACCAGCUAGACAGCCAAGCACAUCAGCGAUGCAGGCGAGACAACGUGCAGCUACUCCCAGAUCCCCACUGCUUCCUGCAGCCACUGAGACAACAGCCAAACAUCAGUAUCCUCAAAAGUCAACAUAUGCCAACCAUUCCUCAUCUUUUGCUGCUCACCUGAGUCCAGCACUUGCAGUAGCUCCUCCUGCUGGCCGGCCAGCGCGGCUGCUCUGAAGAACGGCAGUAGACUGAGAUCUGUGUGGCCUUGUAGAGCGUCCACGGCUCUUCUUCGGCCCACACUGAAGAACAGCUCUUCUCUCCAGCGCAGCUCCGUCUCCUGGUCCGUCAGGACGAGAAUAUCCCUGAGCGAGAGUCUCCAGGCUUCCCUCCAGCUGUCCAGCCCACCAGCGCCACCCAGGAGCCAACAAACACCCUCUAGUCCAACGGGUCCUGAACGUGGCAUGAACACUGGGAACAAUCGGGCGUCCAGCAGACAGCAUGACUCAGUCCUCUCAGGUCCCCAAAGGUACUGAGGCCUUUAACACACACAUAUAUAUAUGUUAGACAAACUGCAUGAAACCAUGACAGUCUCAAUCUGAGCAAAACAUGCAAAAAAUUAACCGUGAAGUCACGUAGGCAGCCUCUUUCUGUAAAAGCAGUUGGCUUUUUGAUACAAUAAAAUUUUUUAUUCAAAAGUCUGAUAAUGUGAC
ensembl:lncRNA